CGCAUAUUUUGCCCAGGCGGAGCUCGACCGCCCAUUCAAACGAUGAUCCAGUUCAUCGAAGAUCACCGUGAUGAUCAUGGGGCGAGCCAAUCUGCCGUGUUUUGCCGAUUGCCCCU
rfam:Pseudopelagicola gijangensis strain DSM 100564 genome assembly, contig: Ga0131178_115